rnacentral:rRNA from 1 species
AGACCUCUGAUCAGAAAAGACUACCCGCUGAAUUUAAGCAUAUCACUAAGCGGAGGAGAAGAAACUAACCAGGAUUUCCCUAGUAACGGCGAGCGAACCGGAAAGAGCCCAGCUUCAAAAU